GACAGAGGUUGCAAACGUUGUUCGGAAUUACUGGGCAUAAAGCGCACGUAGGCGGUUCGUUAAGUCAUGUGUGAAAUCCCUCGGCUCAACCGAGGAAUUGCGCCUGAUACUGGCGGGCUAGAGAUCGAUAGGGGUGAGUGGAACUCCAGGUGGAGCGGUGAAAUGCGUAGAUAUCUGGAGGAACACCGGUGGCGAAAGCGGCUCACUGGAUCGAUACUGACGCUGAGGUGCGAAAGCUAGGGUAGCAAACAGG
rnacentral:rRNA from 1 species